AUCUAAAGUCAUACCACCCUGAAAGCACCUGAUCGCAUCUGAUCUUGGAAGCUAAGCAGGGUCAUGCUCCCUUGAAUGGGAGUCACAGUCUGCAUCAACAUGCAGUGCAGAGAAACGUUAGAAA
rnacentral:rRNA from 1 species